AAUAUGCUAGAGAAGACGUUUUUGCUUGUUCAAAACUUUUCAUUUUUGCAAUGUCUAAUUCUUCAAACUGGCAUAUUUCGUUGCGAAACCCGAUACCGAAGUAAUCAUUCAAUUAUAAAAAAUUUGGUACGACUCUCCUGAAACUUCAGACAAGCUUACAAUGGAGAUCUACCAAUAACUGCUUUCAUCAAAAUCCUUAUUGAUGUGAACUAUGCCAUUUAAAUACGAGAGAAACCAGUCGAGUUUUCAGAAAUCUGCCCAAAAGAUGAGUUAAUUUUAAAGGUUAUUGCAUUUACAAGUUUGAAAAGUCGCUAAUUUAGAAGUUAUGUUAAGUCUUCUCUCGAGCAACCAUUUUUUUAGAGUUUUCUUGCAAGUUCUCAAAGGAAACCAGAUUCCUUCAUGAAUACCAGUCGAAGAUGCUGCAGUGAAUUGAUUGAAAAUAGAUGCGCCUGAAGAGUUAUAUUCUGAAUGGCAUUACGACUUUCCUGGGUACUCAACAGAUGCACUCGCAUGGCCAUCCAAAACACGUAACUGUUAUGACAUGUAUUGCUCUAAGAUGAUUUAAUUACAAUAAUCUCCAUUUCAAGAAUCAUUUGAUACCUGUAUUCCAUUAAUCUGAUUUGUGGAGAAAACGCGUAUAAUUUAUGUAAUGCAAUAUAUAAUUAAACGAAACUUGUCGAUAAGUUUAACAUAGGGAACUUCAUUCAAUCUUAAAGUAUCUAAGAAAUAUGUUUACAUUUUUAACUUGAUUUACAGCUUAACUAAAAAAAAAAAUACUUCGCUGUAAGUCAAAUGAAGCGGACGUGUUUAAUGUAAACAAGACUCCUGAACCAAUUUAAAAUCGUAAUUUAAAGGCCAGGAUACAAGUUCGACUUCCAAUUGUUUCUGGAUUCCUAGGCUGCAACAAAUUACCAAUUCUCAUCGCGUGUAAAUUAUCGGCAAGCGAACCCAACAGGCAGUGGCAAAUAAUUGUUAAUGAUUUCGUAUUUGGCUCACUCGGUGAUAUAUCAACUUUUCAAAUUUAUUAGACAUCACUAGAGACGGAUUCAUGCUCUUAUCAGAUCAGAUCAUAUCGUACGAAGAAAAUUAAAUUUAACCGCAUAAUGUUAAAUGCAGAACUUUUAAUUUCGUGGUAUUUAGAUGCAAUCUAGGUUUAUCAUGAAAUUCCAAACCUUCCGAUUUCAGUUUGAUCCCUCAAAGGAAUACAAACUAAGAACACGCGAAAUUCCGCAAAAAAAAUUUAGUUGCAACUAGUUCAAAAAGAAACUUGUGUUGAGUUAAGACGACGGAUUAAGUUUAAAAAGCAAUUCUACUGCUAUCAUAGCUCCCAAUAGUUAAAAAUUCCAAUGUUAAAAGUAGAAAUUGCACUUGCUCGGUUCUUGCAGCUAAAAUGAUAAAUGGUUGUUGUGGUAUAGGGUUUCGAAAAGGGAGAAUAACCCGUUAAAAUUCCGGCACCUGCUGACUUUUCAUUUAGGUUGUUUGGGACCGGCAACCUAAGUGGAAAGUCGCGGUCCCCAGGAGUUGGUAUUUAACGUGGUUACUGGGGUGGUUGAAGUACAUGGAAACUGAAUUUGGAGGGUCGUCGGAAUAUGAUCUGGAUAUUAGAUUAAAAUUAUCCCCGAUACUGGAUAUAUUAAAUAUUUGUAGGCGGAAAAGAACCAUGGAUAUAUUUUAAUCCAAAAAGUGCAAUUAAUGCUUGAUACAUUGGUAAUGAAUAUCGGGAAUUUUAGAACUUAACUGCUUGUUCUUAGCGUCAAUGACCUACAGUUCAAAUAUGUUGUAUACUUAACCAUACGUUAUGUUAAUGAUAAAUAAAUGGAAAGUGGACAUGGCUUCGUAUAGAGCUAUUUAAAAUUCACAUUAGAAUAAUUUUAAAGGUGUCCAAAUAUAUUUAUCAACUUAAGGAUCACCCAUGGAUUAAAAGUUGAGUAAGGAUUCGAGUGUUAUACAAGUAAUAGUUUAAAAUUUUAUCUUCACAUGCUAAUUGUAAAGAUUUAAUAAUCGUGGAUUGUUAUAUCUGCAAUUAGACUGCUUGCGGCAUUAUUCCAGUUCUCUAGUGAUGUUUCAUGGAAGUGUAGGUUACGGAAGAGUUUAAAUCGUGUAUCAUUAUUUCCCUCUUAUCCAAUGGCAUUUGAUUUUAGUACAUGACCGAUCUUAAAACUGAGUGUGUUCAAAACUAGGAAUAAUUGAAGACUUUUGUAUUGGGAUUAGAAAUGAUUUGCGUAGAAAUUUAAUUACUCGAUACUGAAAUCCCUUGCUUCCCGUUUUAACAUUUCAUACAACAAAAAAUGCAUAAAAUUUUAAGGAAAUCUCGCCUGGAUUAAUAAUUAAGGGCAAUUCUUUAAUGUGAAACGUCUUCCCUACUUGGCUUUUAAUCCAAAGUAGACUAAAUGAAUUGUAAAUUCCCCCCAAAAAUUCGAGAUUUUAUAGUGUUAGGUUGGAAAUUUGGAAAUCGAAAAAUAUUAUGCAAUACCUUUAAAUUUAAAUAGUUCAGGAGUUCAAGUUAAUUCUAGUAAACGGAUACAACUUGUUCGAUUUUGGCAAACUCAUGGAUCGUC